CCUACGGGCGGCAGCAGUAGGGAAUAUUCCACAAUGAGCGAAAGCUUGAUGGAGCGACACAGCGUGCACGAUGAAGGCCUUCGGAUUGUAAAGCGCUGUUAUAAGGGAAGAACAUUUGCAAUAGGAAAUGAUUGCAGACUGACGGUACCUUGUCAGAAAGCGAUGGCUAACUACGUGCCAGCAGCCGCGGUAAUACAUAGGUCGCAAGCGUUAUCCGGAUUUAUUGGGCGUAAAGCGUUCGUAGGCUGUUUGUUAAGUCUGAGGUUAAAUCCCGGGGCUCAACCCCGGCUCGCUUUGGAUACUGGCAAACUAGAGUUAGAGAGAGGUAAGCGGAAUUCGAUGUGUAGCGGUGAAAUGCGUAGAUAUAUGGAAGAACACCGAGGGCGAAGGCAGCUUACUGGGUCUAUACUGACGCUGAGGGACGAAAGCGUGGGGAGCAAACAGGAUUAGAUACCCUGGUAGUC
rnacentral:rRNA from 1 species